UUGGAGGGCAAGUCUGGUGCCAGCAGCCGCGGUAAUUCCAGCUCCAAUAGCGUAUAUUAAAGUUGUUGCAGUUAAAAAGCUCGUAGUUGAAUUUCGGGGUUAGUAGGUUGGUCAUGCCUCUGGUAUGUACUGGUCUCACUGAUUCCUCCUUCCUGAUGAACCGUAAUGCCAUUAAUUUGGUGUUGCGGGGAAUUCGGACUGUUACUUUGAAAAAAUUAGAGUGUUUAAAGCAGGC
rnacentral:rRNA from 1 species